GAUGAACGCUGGCGGCGUGCCUAAUACAUGCAAGUCGAGCGAAGCGGGGACGGGUGAGUAACACGUGGAUAGCCUCCUAUAAUAACGGGCUAACUUCGGGAAACCGCAACUACACCGGAUACUUAUAGAUGGCUCCCCGCUGCAUUAGCUAGUUGGUCAGGUAACGGCUUACCAAGGCAACGAUGCAUAGCCGACCGGAGCGGGGGAUCGGCCACACUGGAACUGAGAAACGGUCCAGACUCCUACGGGAGGCAGCAGUAGGGAAGCUUCCGCAAUGGGCGAAAGCCGGACGGAGCAACGCCGCGUGAGUGAUGAAGGUCUUCGGAUCGUAAAACUCUGUUAUUAGGGAAGCGGUACCUAAUCAGAAAGCCACGGCUAACUAUGGGCCAGCAGCCGCGGUAAUUC
rnacentral:rRNA from 1 species